rnacentral:rRNA from 1 species
AUGUUGCGCCACGCCAACAUCCAGGCGACGGGCAUGGUCAAGUGCCUGAUGAACGAUGGUGUGGCGAGCUGCUCCAGCUUGCCGACGCGGAUGCUAGGCACCUUCGGGUACUUGGCGCCCGAGUACGCCAUCGUCGGCAAGGCGUCGCUCAAGUCAGACUUGUUCAGCUUCGGCGUGGUGGAGCUGGAGCUCAUCACCAGCCGGCAGCCCAUGCACAAGAGGGGUGGCGGCACGGAUGAGAGCCUAGUUAUGUGGGUGACGUCGCGGCUGCGGGACAGCAGGCUUGUGGUGGCUUAG